rnacentral:tRNA from 1 species
GGAGAGGUGCCGGAGUGGUUGAACGGGACGGUCUCGAAAACCGUUUACCCCUUACGGGGUACGGGGGUUCGAAUCCCCCCCUCUCCG